GCCGCUAUCGUCUAGUGGUUAGGACAUCAGGUUCUCAUCCUGGAAAUCGGGGUUCGAUUCCCCGUAGCGGUA
rnacentral:tRNA from 1 species